CCAAAGCUUCAAAUUCAAUAUCCAGUUCCGGUGUAGAGAAUUCUAGCAUCAUGGCAUAGCUACAUUAAUUCAAAGGGGAAAAGGGUUGGACCGCGAGAAAGAGAUGUUAUGGGCCGCUUUAAACGUUACAAGAAAUAGGGUGGUAGCUCUAUCUCUAACUCCACCGGUUCCCGUUCUCCGUCGCCGCUUUCGCCGCCACCCACUGGUCAGAUAAGAUAACGGUGAGAGAGAAACA
rnacentral:lncRNA from 1 species